CCGUUGCCGGCGACCGGCGCACGGGUGAGUAACACGUAUGCAACCUGCCCGUGGCAGGGGGAUAAGCGGGGGAAACCCCGUCUAAUACCGCGUAACGCGGCCUAGGGACAUCCCAAGGCCGCCAAAGGGAGCAAUCCCGGCCACGGAUGGGCAUGCGGCGCAUUAGCUAGUCGGCGGGGUAACGGCCCACCGAGGCGACGAUGCGUAGGGGUUCUGAGAGGAAGGCCCCCCACACUGGUACUGAGACACGGUCCAGACUCCUACGGAAGGCAGCAG
rnacentral:rRNA from 1 species